AUUGAACGCUGGCGGCAUGCCUUACACAUGCAAGUCGAACGGCAGCACGGGUGCUUGCCCUUGGUGGCGCGUGGCGCACGGGUGUGUAAUACAUCGGAACGUCCCUUAUCGGGGGGGAUAACGCAGCGAAAGUUGCGCUAAUACCGCAUACGCCCUGAGGGGGAAAGCGGGGGACCGGAAGGCCUCGCGCGAUUAGAGCGGCCGAUGGCUGAUUAGCGUGUUGGUGAGGUAAAAGCUCACCAAGGGGAUGAUCAGUAGCUGGUCUGAGAGGACGAUCAGCCACACUGGGACUGAGACAGGGCCCAGACUCCUAGGGGAGGCAGCGGUGGGGAAUUUUGGACAAUGGGGGCAACCCUGAUCCAGCAAUGCCGCGUGAGUGAAGAAGGCCUUCGGGUUGUAAAGCUCUUAUGUCAGGGAAGAAACAGCAGCUCUAACACAGUCUGCGAAUGACGGUACCUGAAGAAUAAGCACCGGCUAACUACGUG
rnacentral:rRNA from 1 species